UACAGAGGGUGCGAGCGUUAAUCGGAAUUACUGGGCGUAAAGCGUGCGCAGGCGGUUCGUUGUGUCGGUGGUGAAAUCCCCGGGCUUAACCUGGGAAUGGCCAUGGAAACUGGCGAACUGGAGUGUGGCAGAGGGGGGUGGAAUUCCGCGUGUAGCAGUGAAAUGCGUAGAGAUGCGGAGGAACACCGAUGGCGAAGGCAGCCCCCUGGGCUAGCACUGACGCUCAGGCACGAAAGCGUGGGGAGCAAACAGG
rnacentral:rRNA from 1 species